CUUAAAAUUCCUCUGUGCACAUCAGAGAGUGAAGCUGGAUUUUCAAAAUGUCCACGCUUGCUCCAGUCGCUCACUGCUCUCUUUCAUCUGUUAAACAGAGACAAAUCUGUCUGCAGCUUUCAAUACUCCACCAGAAAAGCACAGAGCAGAACUCUGAGGACAGAGACAGAGAGAUGCAUGAAAAUGGAUGUGUGGAGGAAUGGAGGGACAGAAGAAAGG